AUGUCUAAAAGUAUAACAUGCCUUAUAUGGUGAUUGGGCUUUGUUUUAAUAUUAGAACAACUUUUAUAUCUUGUUUCAGGACUAUGAAAUAGGAGUUGAUUGGAUCAAUGUAGAAUUUAAGGACAAUCAAGAGUGUUUGGAUCUCUUUGAAAAGGCCAAGGUGGGUUUGGAAAAGUGUAAAAGGUAUUCUCUCGGAUAACACAAAAAUCACAGUGAAACACCUCACUGAUUAUCAUAUGCUGGUGGAGAGGUUGCGUUUGGAGUUCAUAGAAACCUGCUAAGACUAAUUGGAAUCUUUUCAAACUCAACUGAAAGAAUCCUGGUAUAUCCUUUCGUGAAAAAUCUAAGCAUAGCGUAUCAAUUAAGAGAUUUGAAAUAUGAUGAGAAAGGCUUAGAUUGGCCAAAAAGAAAGUGUGUGGCUUUCGGAACUUCACACAGUUUGGAAUAUCUACACGAGCAAUGCAAUCCGAAGAUAAUUCACCAUGAUCGAAAGGCUGCAAAUAUCCUUCUAGAUGAUGAGUUUGAACCGGAAUAUUUGUCAACCGGAAAAUCGUUAGGAGAAAACAGAUGUUCUUGAAUACGGCAUAUCACUUUUUAAUCUUAUCACAGGUCAGCUUGUUAUUGACCUCUCUCGGCUCGACGAUGAGGACGUUUUUCUCAUUGAUGAUGUAACAUUUUCAAUUUUUAUAAUAUUAUUUCUGUAAAUUUAUUGAUUAC